GAAAACCAAUAAUCGUGCGGAUUAUAAAAACCAGGACUAUAAAACCGUGUUGCUAGUAUACCGUCUUUUAUGGUGCACUUAGCGUCAAGUCCAUCGGAGAGACCAUUCUCGUUCAUCUUAGUGCCCUUUUGUGUAAAGUCAAAAUCUCACCUUUAGACGAGGGCUGGUAGAACGUACAGAU
rnacentral:snoRNA from 1 species